rnacentral:lncRNA from 1 species
CCGAAAACCCCACAAACCACCGAGCCCCAGAACGAUAUCCUCCGAUCCCCCAAACCACCGCCUCCCAGUCUCAACCAUGGCGUUCCGGCUGAGCAACAACCUGAUCGGGAUCCUGAACGCGGUGACCUUCCUUCUCUCCAUCCCGAUCCUGGGCGCGGGCAUUUGGCUGGGCCACCGCGCCGACGGCACCGAGUGCGAGCGCUACCUCUCGGCGCCCGUAAUCGCGCUGGGGGUCUUCCUCCUCGUCGUCUCCAUCGCGGGGCUCGUCGGCGCCUGCUGCCGCGUCACCUGGCUGCUCUGGGUCUACCUCCUCGCUAUGUUCGUCCUCAUCGUCGCCCUCUUCUGCUUCACCGUCUUCGCCUUCGUCGUCACCAACCGGGGCGCCGGGGAGGCCGUGUCGGGCCGGGGGUACAAGGAGUACAGGCUUGGGGACUACUCCAACUGGCUGCAGAAGCGGGUGGAGAACCACAAGAACUGGAACAGGAUCAGGAGCUGCCUCCAGGGCUCCAAGGUCUGCAAGAACCUGCAGGACAAGAAGGAGUCGGUCACCGACUUCAUGCGUUCCGACCUCUCCCCGAUCGAGGUACUUGCUUAAUUACGUGAAAAAUGCAUUUUUCUUCCCUUAAUCUUCAGUCUCAGUUUUUUUUUGACAAAUCACCAAGACAGAUUCUAAAACAAACUCUAUCUAUCUGUAGCCGGCGUUUUGUCUUACAGAAAAAGAACACUUCUUUUUCAUUCACGUGUCAUUCAUACUUUAGUGGUCGCGAAUUGCGAUGUGACUUUGGGAGGAUAGUAGUAAUGCCAAAAGACUUUGAAGAAACGGUAGCUUGUGAAACGCAAAACCUUAUCUUAGGCCCGGCUGAUGGUUACUUGUACGGUUGUGCAUCUCGAUCAGACGUACACAAUUUGGAAUUCUGUCUAAAAAUGCAUUGGGCUUAGCGUUGAUAUUGUCAACGGAUUACUCCUAUUUUAUAGUGACAUAUCUUCGGUCCAUAUCAACCUUUACUACCUGCUCUGAAGUCUGAACUGCUCCCGAUGCUCUGACCGCUGCAUUAUUGAAGGAAGAAUUUUCGUUCAUCGCACAUGCUUUCAUUUCAACGCUCUGGUGCACUUGCACUCAACUUUUAGGUCGCGUAACCCAAUCGUUUCACGAAACGGCUCCACCUGAAACUAUCAUAAACAACUGAAACUGUUUUAUUUACUUGUAGUAUUUACCUAAACAACGUCAUGUGAUGUUGAAAGUUCCCAGUCAUGAGUAUUGAGUAGUAGCCCUGCAUAUGUGCUGCUCUGUUUCAAAGGCUCAUCGCUGUUCUUGUUGCUCGUGCAGUCUGGGUGCUGCAAGCCCCCCACCAGCUGCGGCUUCAC